rnacentral:rRNA from 1 species
UGAUCAGCGAUGCCGCGUGGGUGAAGAAGGCCUUCGGGUUGUAAAGCCCUUUUGUCCGGGACGAAGUCGUACGGGUGAAUAUGCCGUGCUGAUGACGGUACCGAAAGAAUAAGCACCGGCUAACUUCGUGCCAGCAGCCGCGGUAAUACGAAGGGUGCAAGCGUUACUCGGAAUUACUGGGCGUAAAGGGUGCGUAGGCGGUUUGUUAAGUCCGCUGUGAAAGCCCUGGGCUCAACCUGGGAAUUGCAGUGGAUACUGGCUAGCUAGAGUGCGGUAGAGGAUGGUGGAAUUCCCGGUGUAGCGGUGAAAUGCGUAGAAUAUCGGGAGGAACACCCGUGGCGAAGGCGGCUAUCUGAGCAGCACUGACGCUGAGCACCGA